UUUGACGAAAUAUUCACGGAUAUGGUCCGAGAUGCCGAAAAGGGUUUGCACGAAGAUGCAUCCUAUCUCACAUGAGAAACAACUUUUUUACAAGGACGAGAUAAAGCUUCGAAGCUCUUCCCAAAGGUGAGAAACAACUUAUUUCUUAAAAACCUUGGUCAUCAGAUUAUGUGCUCUCAAACAAAAUUGGACGAACCUCACCACCUGUUCGAUCAAAUGCCUAAGAGGAAGAUGAAUCAAACUGUAAGGGGUAUCUGAUAUGAUGAUAGGUGGAGUGGGGUAAGGCAAAGCCAUCAACUCUCAAGAAUUCGCUGGAGAACAAACUAAGGGAGGCUCUCGAGGAGGCUUCUGAAGAUGGGUCAUUGGCAAAAUCACAUGAAAUUUACUCUGAGUCUUUGAAUCAAAAUGGCUGCUUGGGAAGGUCAAUAUCUCUUGCAAGGCUUAAUGCCCAGUUGGAAUUCUUGAGGGCAACUGCUCUUUUGUCUGAUAGAACAUUUUGCACUGAAGAAUCCAUUCCUGGCUUUAAUGAAGCCUUGACUUUGUACGGGUUGUUUUCUUGUUUUCAAAUGCUACAGUAUUGGGAUUCAUCUACAUUUAGCUUAAAGGAAAUUACUGCAAAUUUGAGCAAUCAUGUACUUCAUGGGGGUGCAGAGGAAGGUACUGUGGAGCAUGAUAUUAAAACCAAAAUUGUGGAUUACUUGAA